rnacentral:rRNA from 1 species
AGCGAACGCUGGCGGCAGGCCUAACACAUGCAAGUCGAACGGACCCUUCGGGGUUAGUGGCGGACGGGUGAGUAACACGUGGGAACGUGCCUUUAGGUUCGGAAUAGCUCCUGGAAACGGGUGGUAAUGCCGAAUGUGCCCUUCGGGGGAAAGAUUUAUCGCCUUUAGAGCGGCCCGCGUCUGAUUAGCUAGUUGGUGGGGUAAUGGCUCACCAAGGCGACGAUGAGUAGCUGGUCUGAGAGGAUGGCCAGCCACAUUGGGACUGAGACACGGCCCAAACUCCUACGGGAGGCAGCAGUGGGGAAUCUUGCGCAAUGGGCGAAAGCCUGACGCAGCCAUGCCGCGUGGAUGAUGAAGGUCUUAGGAUUGUAAAAUCCUUUCACCGGUGAAGAUAAUGACUGUAGCCGGAGAAGAAGCCCCGGCUAACUUCGUGCCAGCCGCCGCAGUAAGAC